GAUGAACGCUGGCGGCGUGCCUAAUACAUGCAAGUCGAGCGAACAGACGAGGAGCUUGCUCCUCUGACGUUAGCGGCGGACGGGUGAGUAACACGUGGAUAACCUACCUAUAAGACUGGGAUAACUUCGGGAAACCGGAGCUAAUACCGGAUAAUAUAUUGAACCGCAUGGUUCAAUAGUGAAAGACGGUUUUGCUGUCACUUAUAGAUGGAUCCGCGCCGCAUUAGCUAGUUGGUAAGGUAACGGCUUACCAAGGCAACGAUGCGUAGCCGACCUGAGAGGGUGAUCGGCCACACUGUAACUGAGACACGGUCCAGACUCCUACGGUAGGCAGCAGUAGGGAAUCUUCCGCAAUGGGCGAAAGCUUGACGGAGCAACGCCGCGUGAGUGAUGAAGGUCUUCGGAUCGUAAAACUCUGUUAUUAGGGAAGAACAAAUGUGUAAGUAACUAUGCACGUCUUGACGGUACCUAAUCAGAAAGCCACGGCUAACUACGUG
rnacentral:rRNA from 1 species